CCUGCUGGGCUUUAACUGACGCUGAGGCACGAAAGCGUGGGUAGCAAACAGGAUUAGAUACCCUGGUAGUCCACGCGGUAAACGAUGAAUACUAGGUGUUGGCAUCCAAAGGAUGUCGGUGCCGUCGCAAACGCAUUAAGUAUUCCACCUGGGGAGUACGUUCGCAAGAAUGAAACUCAAAGGAAUUGACGGGGACCCGCCCAAGCAGUGGAGCAUGUGGUUUAAUUGGAAGCAACGCGAAGACCCUUACCAAGUCUUGACAUCCCCCUGACCGGCGAGUAACGUCGCCUUUCCUUCGGGACAGGGGAGACAGGUGGUGCAUGGUUGUCGUCAGCUCGUGUCAGAGAUGUUGGGUUAAGUCCCGCAACGAGCGCAACCCUUAUGGCCAGUAGCCAGCACGUUAUGGUGGGCACUCUGGCAAGACUGCCCGGGAUAACCGGGAGGAAGGUGGGGAUGACGUCAAAUCAUCAUGCCCCUUAUGAUUUGGGCAACACACGUGCUACAAUGGCGUAACAGAGAGAAGCGAUCCCGCGAGGGGGAGCAAAUCUUCAAAUAACGUCUCAGUUCGGACUGCAGUCUGCAACUCGACCCAGGAAGCGG
rnacentral:rRNA from 1 species